UAUGUGAUCGUCUCUCGCAUAUCAAUAAGCGGAGGAAAAGAAACUAACAAGGAUUCCCCUAGUGACGGCGAGUGAAGCGGGAAGAGCUCAAAUUUGAAAUCUUAAAGGGUUUCCCUUUACGAGUUGUAGUUUAAAGAAGUGUUUUCUGUUGAGGUUUUGGUAAAAGUUCUUUGGAAUAGGACAUCAUAGAGGGUGAGAAUCCCGUAUUUGACCUUUACUUUCAACUUUGUGAUACACUUUCAAAGAGUCGGAUUGUUUGGGAAUGCAGUCCAAAAUGGGUGGUAAAUUUCAUCUAAAGCUAAAUAUUGGCGAGAGACCGAUAGCGAACAAGUACCGUGAGGGAAAGAUGAAAAGAACUUUGAAAAGAGAGUUAAACAGUACGUGAAAUUGUCAAAAGGGAAGCGUUUGACACCAGUGUUGUUUUUCUGAAAAUCAAUUAAAGAACUGUUUAUGCUAAGUUGUUUAGACUUUAUCAGCUAACUGUUUAGUUUUGAGCUUUUCUUUAAUGCACUUUUCAGUUAACAAGUCAACAUCAAUUUCUUUUGCUGUAAAAAAGCUUGAGGAAGGUGGCUUGAGAUUCGUCUUAAGUGUUUAUAGCCUCUUGCCUAUGCAGUUGGAGAGAUUGAGGUCUGCAGCGUAGAUCCUUCGGGGCUAAAUGCAUUUGUGCUAAGUUAUAGCAUUUUAUAGACAACUUGUUGACUAUGAUUUGUCUUGUAGCUUACUCGCUUAUGUUAUUUUACCUACGCUUAGGAUGUUGAGUCGUAGAGCACGCAG
rnacentral:rRNA from 1 species